GGUUCAACUGAUUUGAAGAGCUUGCUCAGAUAUGACGAUGGACAUUGCAAAGAGUGGCGAACGGGUGAGUAACACGUGGGAAACCUACCUCUUAGCAGGGGAUAACAUUUGGAAACAGAUGCUAAUACCGUAUAACAAUAGCAACCGCAUGGUUGCUACUUAAAAGAUGGUUCUGCUAUCACUAAGAGAUGGUCCCGCGGUGCAUUAGUUAGUUGGUGAGGUAAUGGCUCACCAAGACGAUGAUGCAUAGCCGAGUUGAGAGACUGAUCGGCCACAAUGGGACUGAGACACGGCCCAUACUCCUACGGGAGGCAGCAGUAGGGAAUCUUCCACAAUGGGCGAAAGCCUGAUGGAGCAACGCCGCGUGUGUGAUGAAGGGUUUCGGCUCGUAAAACACUGUUGUAAGAGAAGAAUGACAUUGAGAGUAACUGUUCAAUGUGUGACGGUAUCUUACCAGAAAGGAACGGCUAAAUACGUGCCAGCAGCCGCGGUAAUACGUAUGUUCCAAGCGUUAUCCGGAUUUAUUGGGCGUAAAGCGAGCGCAGACGGUUAUUUAAGUCUGAAGUGAAAGCCCUCAGCUCAACUGAGGAAUUGCUUUGGAAACUGGAUGACUUGAGUGCAGUAGAGGAAAGUGGAACU
rnacentral:rRNA from 1 species